UGACCUCAGAUCAGGCAAGGCUACCCGCUGAAUUUAAGCAUAUUAAUAAGCGGAGGAAAAGAAACUAACAAGGAUUCCCCUAGUAAUGGCGAAUGAAGCGGAAACAGCUCAAAUUUAAAAUCUCCGUUGCUUGCAACGGCGAAUUGUAGUUUCGAGAAGCACUUUCUCGGCGGAUCCGAGGUCGUCCAAGUUGCUUGGAACAGCACGUCGUAGAGGGUGACAACCCCGUCUGCGGCGACCUCGGCCGUUCACGAUGUGCUUUCGACGAGUCGGGUUGUUUGGGAAUGCAGCCCAAAAUGGGUGGUAAACUCCAUCUAAAGCUAAAUAUUGGCACGAGACCGAUAGCGAACAAGUACCGUGAGGGAAAGAUGAAAAGCACUUUGAAAAGAGAGUUAAAAGUACGGAAACCGUAAAAGGGAAACGAAUG
rfam:Nematostella vectensis strain CH2 x CH6 NEMVEscaffold_2996_Cont43763, whole genome shotgun sequence.